GCGACCCCAGGUCAGGCGGGAUUACCCGCUG
rnacentral:rRNA from 8 species